rnacentral:rRNA from 1 species
AGAGUUUGAUCAUGGCUCAGAGCGAACGCUGGCGGCAGNNUUAACACAUGCAAGUCGAACGGGCCCUUCGGGGUCAGUGGCAGACGGGUGAGUAACACGUGGGAACGUGCCCUUCGGUUCGGAACAACUCAGGGAAACUUGAGCUAAUACCGGAUACGCCCUUCGGGGGAAAGAUUUAUCGCUGAAGGAUCGGCCCGCGUCUGAUUAGCUAGUUGGUGAGGUAAUGGCUCACCAAGGCGACGAUCAGUAGCUGGUCUGAGAGGAUGAUCAGCCACACUGGGACUGAGACACGGCCCAGACUCCUACGGGAGGCAGCAGUGGGGAAUAUUGGACAAUGGGCGCAAGCCUGAUCCAGCCAUGCCGCGUGAGUGAUGAAGGCCUUAGGGUUGUAAAGCUCUUUCGUCCGGGACGAUAAUGACGGUACCGGAAGAAGAAGCCCCGGCUAACUUCGUGCCAGCAGCCGCGGUAAUACGAAGGGGGCUAGCGUUGCUCGGAAUCACUGGGCGUAAAGGGCGCGUAGGCGGCCAUUCAAGUCAGAGGUGAAAGCCCAAGGCUCAACCUUGGAAUUGCCUUUGAUACUGUUUGGCUUGAGACCGGAAGAGGUAAGUGGAACUGCGAGUGUAGAGGUGAAAUUCGUAGAUAUUCGCAAGAACACCAGUGGCGAAGGCGGCUUACUGGUCCGGUUCUGACGCUGAGGCGCGAAAGCGUGGGGAGCAAACAGGAUUAGAUACCCUAGUAGUCC